AUUGAACGCUGGCGGCAUGCUUUACACAUGCAAGUCGAACGGUAACAGGCCGCAAGGUGCUGACGAGUGGCGAACGGGUGAGUAAUGCAUCGGAACGUGCCCAGCCGUGGGGGAUAACGCAGCGAAAGCUGUGCUAAUACCGCAUACGAUCUGUGGAUGAAAGCGGGGGACCGAAAGGCCUCGCGCGAUUGGAGCGGCCGAUGUCAGAUUAGGUAGUUGGUGGGGUAAAGGCUCACCAAGCCAACGAUCUGUAGCUGGUCUGAGAGGACGACCAGCCACACUGGGACUGAGACACGGCCCAGACUCCUACGGGAGGCAGCAGUGGGGAAUUUUGGACAAUGGGCGCAAGCCUGAUCCAGCAAUGCCGCGUGCAGGAAGAAGGCCUUCGGGUUGUAAACUGCUUUUGUACGGAGCGAAAAGGCUCUCUCUAAUACAGGGGGCUCAUGACGGUACCGUAAGAAUAAGCACCGGCUAACUACGUGCCAGCAGCCGCGGUAACAC
rnacentral:rRNA from 1 species